rnacentral:rRNA from 1 species
GAAUGCUGACAUAAGUAACGAUAAAGCGGGUGAAAAGCCCGCUCGCCGGAAGACCAAGGGUUCCUGUCCAACGUUAAUCGGGGCAGGGUGAGUCGACCCCUAAGGCGAGGCCGAAAGGCGUAGUCGAUGGGAAACGGGUUAAUAUUCCCGUACUUGGUGUUACUGCGAAGGGGGGACGGAGAAGGCUAUGUUGGCCGGGCGACGGUUGUCCCGGUUUAAGCGUGUAGGUGUGUGUUCCAGGUAAAUCCGGUUCACUUUAACACUGAGGCGUGACGACGAGGCACUACGGUGCUGAAGCAACAAAUGCCCUGCUUCCAGGAAAAGCCUCUAAGCAUCAGGUAACAUCAAAUCGUACCCCAAACCGACACAGGUGGUCAGGUAGAGAAUACCAAGGCGCUUGAGAGAACUCGGGUGAAGGAACUAGGCAAAAUGGUGCCGUAACUUCGGGAGAAGGCACGCUGACACGUAGGUGAAGUGAUUUACUCAUGGAGCUGAAGUCAGUCGAAGAUACCAGCUGGCUGCAACUGUUUAUUAAAAACACAGCACUGUGCAAACACGAAAGUGGACGUAUACGGUGUGACGCCUGCCCGGUGCCGGAAGGUUAAUUGAUGGGGUCAGCGCAAGCGAAGCUCCUGAUCGAAGCCCCGGUAAACGGCGGCCGUAACUAUAACGGUCCUAAGGUAGCGAAAUUCCUUGUCGGGUAAGUUCCGACCUGCACGAAUGGCGUAAUGAUGGCCAGGCUGUCUCCACCCGAGACUCAGUGAAAUUGAACUCGCUGUGAAGAUGCAGUGUACCCGCGGCAAGACGGAAAGACCCCGUGAACCUUUACUAUAGCUUGACACUGAACAUUGAGCCUUGAUGUGUAGGAUAGGUGGGAGGCUUUGAAGUGUGGACGCCAGUCUGCAUGGAGCCGACCUUGAAAUACCACCCUUUAAUGUUUGAUGUUCUAACGUGGACCCGUAAUCCGGGUUGCGGACAGUGUCUGGUGGGUAGUUUGACUGGGGCGGUCUCCUCCUAAAGAGUAACGGAGGAGCACGAAGGUUGGCUAAUCCUGGUCGGACAUCAGGAGGUUAGUGCAAUGGCAUAAGCCAGCUUGACUGCGAGCGUGACGGCGCGAGCAGGUGCGAAAGCAGGUCAUAGUGAUCCGGUGGUUCUGAAUGGAAGGGCCAUCGCUCAACGGAUAAAAGGUACUCCGGGGAUAACAGGCUGAUACCGCCCAAGAGUUCAUAUCGACGGCGGUGUUUGGCACCUCGAUGUCGGCUCAUCACAUCCUGGGGCUGAAGUAGGUCCCAAGGGUAUGGCUGUUCGCCAUUUAAAGUGGUACGCGAGCUGGGUUUAGAACGUCGUGAGACAGUUCGGUCCCUAUCUGCCGUGGGCGCUGGAGAACUGAGGGGGGCUGCUCCUAGUACGAGAGGACCGGAGUGGACGCAUCACUGGUGUUCGGGUUGUCAUGCCAAUGGCACUGCCCGGUAGCUAAAUGCGGAAGAGAUAAGUGCUGAAAGCAUCUAAGCACGAAACUUGCCCCGAGAUGAGUUCUCCCUGAGACUUUAGGUCUCCUGAAGGAACGUUGAAGACGACGACGUUGAUAGGCCGGGUGUGUAAGCGCAGCGAUGCGUUGAGCUAACCGGUACUAAUGAACCGUGAGGCUUAACCUUACA